rnacentral:lncRNA from 1 species
UUUUUGAAGACUGCUCGCCCGACCGGGCUCCGUCGGUGCAUUUAGGGUACGAUGCAAAAUCCGCGUGUAGAAGCCGAUACAAUCCGCUAAAAGCACUGCAUACCCAACAGCAGCAAUUUCAUCCGACAGUUGCACCUGUGGAUGUAGGUCUAGCUGCAGCCAUGCCACCGGAGUUGCUUGCUGACGAGACUGCUGCAGUGGAGCCCUUUCACUGCAUAAGUUGCCAAACUGAGGUGACCGGGAGUGACAUCAUGAAUCUCCAAAAGGAAGUAGCAAGCCUACAAGAAGAGCUGACAUCUGUGAAAGCAGAGCUAGUGGCAGGGAAGUUCACUGAAAGUGCAUCACACCAUGACGAAAAAGUGUCGUAUUAUACAGGGCUGCCAAA